rnacentral:ncRNA from 1 species
CUAUAUUCCCGCCACGCCAGCAAAAUCUGGCGUCGGGAUUGGAACCCCGGAUA